GACCUGGUGGUGGAAGGCACCACAUCUAAUUCUUGGGAGCCGGAGAAGUCAGCGGGAGUCGUCGGUUCGAAUCCGGCCCAGAUCG